rnacentral:rRNA from 1 species
UACGAAGGGGGCUAGCGUUGUUCGGAAUUACUGGGCGUAAAGCGCACGUAGGCGGAUCGACCAGUCAGGGGUGAAAUCCCAGGGCUUAACCCUGGAACUGCCUUUGAUACUGUCGAUCUGGAGUCCGGAAGAGGUGAGUGGAAUUCCGAGUGUAGAGGUGAAAUUCGUAGAUAUUCGGAGGAACACCAGUGGCGAAGGCGGCUCACUGGUCCGGUACUGACGCUGAGGUGCGAAAGCGUGGGGAGCAAACAGG